rnacentral:rRNA from 1 species
ACGAACGCUGGCGGCGUGCUUCACACAUGCAAGUCGAACGGUGAAGCGCCUUCCUUUUUGGUGGGUGUGGAUGAGUGGCGAACGGGUGAGUAACACGUGAGUAACCUGCCCCCUUCUUCUGGAUAACCGCAUGAAAGUGUGGCUAAUACGGGAUAUUCUGGGCCUGUCGCAUGAUGGGUCUGGGAAAGAUAUUGUUUCGGUGGGGGAUGGGCUCGCGGCCUAUCAGCUUGUUGGUGGGGUGAUGGCCUACCAAGGCGGUGACGGGUAGCCGGCCUGAGAGGGUGGACGGUCACACUGGGACUGAGACACGGCCCAGACUCCUACGGGAGGCAGCAGUGGGGAAUAUUGCACAAUGGGCGCAAGCCUGAUGCAGCGACGCCGCGUGAGGGAUGGAGGCCUUCGGGUUGUGAACCUCUUUCGCCAGUGAAGCAGGCCUGCCUCGUUUGUGGGUGGGUUGACGGUAGCUGGAUAAGAAGCGCCGGCUAACUACGUG